rnacentral:tRNA from 1 species
UCCCUGAUAGCUCAGUUGGUAAAAAAAAUCUGCCUGCAAUGCAGGAAACCCUGGUUCGAUUCCUGGUUCGGGAA